GCUCCACCUCAUUACACAAGGGUUUCCAUUUCUGGACAUAGAUCAACCCCUCUUCCCACUCGAAAGCUGCAAAUCCCCUGUCAACUCCAUCUCCGACGCUUAGUAUUGCCUUCUUAUUUGCAAAUGGCUCCAAGGUUACCUCCGAAUCUAUCUGCAAGUUAUACACUACCACUCUCAGUAGCUUCCUCCAGUCUUGAACAUCCUUACUGGCGGAAACCACCAUUUUCUUCUCCCAAUCCUCCACUUCAGCCUCAACCCACACUUUCAGUCCCCUGUUUGGAAACAUUACUGCCUUGCCGCAACUGGUUGAUUUUUGUUUCAAUGCCUGGAACGAUGACUCAGCGGUACCCAUCUUGUUGCUCUGUUCUUGUUCUUGUUCCACUUGCAGGUGAUUAGCCGCAGACCAGGAACUUCUGCAACUCCAUCGCAAAUGACUUCCAUCCUUGACCUUGUUUCCCUUCCGGUAUACAUACCAUUUGGUUUCGGUCACCGAAAUGUUGUAUGAUGGUAAUGAACCACCCUUUUUUAUUCCAUCUGAGUUCCACUUUAUAUUUUUUCUUUUCCAACUCCAGUACAUUCCUCCACCCUACGGUUUUCGUGGACUGAAGUGCUCCAUCGAUGAAGCCUUUCAACCAGUGAACAGCUUCCUCAAGAAGGAUUAAUGUCGCCCUUCUACCUUCUCUUACCUCCAGCAAAUUCUUACUUUAUGAUUUUCCGCCUUCCAUAAGGAACCUUUUCGCUUCGAUAUCCAACCCAGCCCUCCAUCUAUUCACCACCUGAAACUCCUUUUCGUUUUCUCCUCCCAUUUGAAGAGGACACAUGAAAGCCAAAUAUUAUCCUCCACUGGGUUCCUAGAGAUUUAGGUGUUCAGUAUCUUGGUUACUGUGUUCCAAUGGGUUCUGGAAGACACCAAAGGUAAUAUCACAAUAUGCAUUCCUUUGGGCAUAAGAGAACCAAAAUCUCCCUCUGCUGCAUUAAUGCAUCUCAGAGGUUUCUGGAUUUCAUAACCUCAGCUACAUUAAUGCCUCCAACUUCAAGCUUCAACUUUCUACUCUUCUUCAAGCUACUUACAGGGGUCUGCCCAUUCUUCUUCAGACUCUCUUUUAUAUCGGAAGACCGUACACGGAUCUGCUUUCUGUGAAAUCCAACGGCACAAAACCUGCAGCUACAGAUACAAGCAAGCUGCAAAAUUGUGGAGCAUAUUUGAUUGGUAUGUGCAAACAUUGUUCAAGGACCCAAAGGUUGACAAGUCAGACAUUUCUAUUAGAACUAUGAUUCUUGUAUUCCUCCAAGGACUCAAGUUGAUGACUUUCUUGGGCUCUCACAGUAGUGAUGGAAGGUGAAGAAGCCUCCAGCUGUUCCCUGGGCUUUUCAUCAUUAUGUUGGAGAAUUUAGAUCUUUGAUUUCCAUGAUGAACAUCUUAUUUAGACGCAUCCCAGAAUCAACCAACUUCACAGUAGAUUCUCCAGCUAAGGGAGGGAUUGGGAGGAGAGAUCUAUAUGGGGGAACUAUCUAUCUGGAUGCUAUUGUUAUUUGGUCUGGCUUUGCAAGGAUUUUUUAUCCUUCUUUUAUUUCCUUCAAUUUACUCAUGUCAGACAUUUACACUCUCCUCUUUCUGCUUUUUAAUACAGUUUUCUGCUAUGGAUCAGAAAAAAGGAGACACUAGUGUUAGAAAAAAGUGAUCCUGGGGGCCAAUGAUAUAAAGUUAUACCAUGGAGGAUUAUGGUGAUGAAUCCACGACUAUUAACUACAAAUCCAUGCAAGGUAUGAAGAGUCAUGAGUCCAGAUGUAUUUCAUAUGCUGGAAAAGUUAACUAGCCAAUACACAGAUGUAAUUGUGUCAUAAAUUCAAAUUUAUUCGGUCAACGACUGUUUAGCAAGUUGUCCUUCUCUUCCAAGUUAUUCAAAAAGUAGUGUUGUAUAUUCUUACUUUUUAUUAUCAAUGAAAUUCACUGUUAAUGAUCAAAAUAAACGUGACCAUAUUCAGAAUAGUGGAAUUUUCAAGGACUGGAAAACAACCAUCAUGAUUGAAAUGAAAACAAGGCAAAAUACAAUGGAAAACCACUAUUUAUUUGUAACGAGUUGGGCAAUAAAAGUUGAUUUUCUUUUUUGAAAAUUGAGUAUUGAACAUCCAAAUCUUCCAGAAGUGUAUGUAUGGGAAA